CUCCAGAAAAAGUUACGGGGUGUGUCAUUGCAUUGCUGUAUUGGCUAUGUGAACAUGCAACUGUCAUUGACUCGGAAGACAGUAACACAACUGACUUCCCAAGAUGUGCCAAGUGGAACUUGCAAACCUUGACGAAACAGCUGCAGAAGACACCAGUCCACUCUCUUGCACCUCGACAGAUUGAUAACAAGCAGCUAGUCAAAAACCCAUCAGAGGAGUUCUGUCUUGGCAAAAAGACGAAGAAAGAAUUAAAAAAGACAAUUGUCAAAUUCAAGGAGACAUUACAAGAUCCAUCUGAAGAUGGAGGGAAUGAACAAGCAGAAGGCAACACAGAAGAAUACGAAGCCAGCAAUGGACAAGAACAUCAAGCAAGCAGCACAGAAAAAGAAACCAGCGAAGAAAGUGAAGAAAUAGAACCAGAAGACAAAGAACAAAAUGAACAGAAAGAAUAAGACAGUGAACAAGAAGAUGAAGAAGAAGAUGAACAGCAAGAAGAAAACAAGGAUGAAAGUGAUAAAGAAGAAAAUAAUGAGCCGAUGGACCAACAACAUGAUGGCAUUUGUGGCUCAACAAUGCAUCAGCCUGAAGAAUUUGAGGAAUCAAAGGAUGCCCAAAUUGCUGAUCUACGUCAAAGACUGAAGGCACUUUCUCAAUCUAAAAAAGAAGAAGACAGAAAUUGGAUUGAAUUACUUGCUGAAAAGGAUAUUUCAAUAAGAAUCCUGACAUCACAUAACUCAAAACUUCAAGA